UAUAUGCAUAUAUGGAAAAAAUAAACAUAUACAGAACUUCAUACACCGCAUUCAGUUCUCUGGAUAUGAUUAGAAAGAUAGGGUUCGUGAAUACAGGGGGGCUAGAGAGAAAUUAGAUAACAUUAUACGUAAUGAUACCAGUGGUACCUGCCCUAGAUAUAGAAACAAAGAAUGGAAUAGAAUACAAAGAACUUGUGACAAAGCAAACAGGGCGAACACGUGGUA